UACGAAGGGUCCAAGCGUUGUUCGGAAUUACUGGGCGUAAAGCGCGCGUAGGCGGGCUUAUAAGUCGAUUGUGAAAUCCCUGGGCUCAACCCGGGAACUGCAGUCGAAACUGUAAGCCUUGAAUGUCUGAGAGGAUGGCGGAAUAACCGGUGUAGUAGUGAAAUACGUAGAUAUCGGUUAGAACACCUGAGGCGAAGGCGGCUAUCUGGCGGAACAUUGACGCUGAGGCGCGAAAGCGUGGGGAGCAAACAGG
rnacentral:rRNA from 1 species